AGAACGAACGCUGGCGGCAGGCUUAACACAUGCAAGUCGAACGCUCGUAGCAAUACGGGAGUGGCAGACGGGUGAGUAACGCGUGGGAACAUACCCUCCGGUUCGGAAUAGCUCAGGGAAACUUGGAUUAAUACCGGAUACGGCUGAGAGGCGAAAGAUUUAUCGCCGGAGGAUUGGCCCGCGUUCGAUUAGUUUGUUGGUGAGGUAACGGCUCACCAAGGCGAUGAUCGAUAGCUGGUCUGAGAGGAUGAUCAGCCACAUUGGGACUGAGACACGGCCCAAACUCCUACGGGAGGCAGCAGUGGGGAAUAUUGGACAAUGGGCGCAAGCCUGAUCCAGCCAUGCCGCGUGAGUGAUGACGGCCUUAGGGUUGUAAAGCUCUUUCGCUCGGGACGAUAAUGACGGUACCGAGAUAAGAAGCCCGGCUAACUUCGCGCCAGCAGCCGC
rnacentral:rRNA from 1 species